UACGUAGGGGGCUAGCGUUGUCCGGAAUCAUUGGGCGUAAAGAGCGUGUAGGCGGUCCGGUAAGUCCGUUGUGAAAGUCAAAGGCUCAACCUUUGAAUGCCGGUGGAUACUGUCGGGCUAGAGUCCGGAAGAGGCGAGUGGAAUUCCUGGUGUAGCGGUGGAAUGCGCAGAUAUCAGGAGGAACACCAAUAGCGAAGGCAGGUCUCUGGGCCACUACUGACGCUGAGAAGCGAAAGCAUGGGGAGCGAACAGG
rnacentral:rRNA from 1 species